rnacentral:rRNA from 1 species
GACGAACGCUGGCGGCGUGCUUAACACAUGCAAGUCGAACGCUGAAGCUCAGCUUUUGUUGGGUGGAUGAGUGGCGAACGGGUGAGUAACACGUGAGUAACCUGCCUCCUUCUUUGGGAUAACGCCCGGAAACGGGUGCUAAUACUGGAUAUUCACUGGUCUUCGCAUGGGGGUUGGUGGAAAGGGUUUUUCUGGUGGGGGAUGGGCUCGCGGCCUAUCAGCUUGUUGGUGGGGUGAUGGCCUACCAAGGCUUUGACGGGUAGCCGGCCUGAGAGGGUGACCGGUCACAUCGGGACUGAGAUACGGCCCAGACUCCUACGGGAGGCAGCAGUGGGGAAUAUUGCACAAUGGGCGCAAGCCUGAUGCAGCGACGCCGCGUGAGGGAUGGAGGCCUUCGGGUUGUGAACCUCUUUCGCUCAUGGUCAAGCCGCAACAAUGGUUGUGGUGAGGGUAGUGGGUAAAGAAGCGCCGGCUAACUACGUG